rnacentral:rRNA from 1 species
UACGUAGGGCGCAAGCGUUGUCCGGAAUUAUUGGGCGUAAAGAGCUCGUAGGCGGCUUGUCGCGUCGAUUGUGAAAGCCCGGGGCUUAACUCCGGGUCUGCAGUCGAUACGGGCAGGCUAGAGUGUGGUAGGGGAGAUCGGAAUUCCUGGUGUAGCGGUGAAAUGCGCAGAUAUCAGGAGGAACACCAAUGGCGAAGGCAGCUCGCUGGGACGGUACUGACGCUGAGGCGCGAAAGCGUGGGGGAGCAAACAGG